CAGCCGCCGCGGUAAUACGUAGGGUGCGAGCGUUGAUCGGAUUUACUGGGCGUAAAGCGUGCGCAGGCGGCCCGUUAAGACAGGUGUGAAAUCCCUGGGCUCAACCUAGGAAUUGCGCUUGUGACUGGCGGGCUCGAGUACGGUAGAGGGGGGUGGAAUUCCUGGUGUAGCAGUGAAAUGCGUAGAGAUCAGGAGGAACACCGAUGGCGAAGGCAGCCCCCUGGGCCUGUACUGACGCUCAUGCACGAAAGCGUGGGGAGCAACCAGGAUUAGAUACCCUGGUAGUCCACGCCCUAAACGAUGGGUACUAGCCGUUUGGUGCGCGAUAGCGCUGAGUGGCGAAGCUAACGCGUGAAGUACCCCGCCUGGGGAGUACGGCCGCAAGGUUGAAACUUAAAGGAAUUGGCGGG
rnacentral:rRNA from 1 species